GAGGGUAUAGCUCAAAGUGGUAGAGCACAUGCUUAGCAUGCAUGAGGUCCUGGAUUCAAUCUCCAGUACCUCCU
rnacentral:tRNA from 1 species